AAUAUUUCCAAAAAGCAACGGAGACAGAGUUCAUCAAAAAGAAGAUUGAAGAGAGUCUCUAAUACACCCCUGCUGCUAACCGUGGAAGUGCAAGAAUGUCGAGGGACCUUGGCUCAACAUUCCACCACCCCCGACCGACCGCAUAUGGUAUGGUUUCCGGAAGCCACCGUACGUGGAGCUGAAAGCUCGGCCAAAACUUGGAGAGAGAGAAGUGACUUUGGUUCAUGUGACGGAGUGGAUAGAGAAGAAACUGGAGCAAGAGUUUCAGAAAGUUUUUGUCAUGCCAAACAUGGAUGAUGUUUAUAUCCCUAUAAUGCACUCGGCCAUGGACCCUCGCUCCACUUCCUGCCUCCUGAAAGACCCCCCUGUGGAGGCCUCUGACCAGCUGUGAUGGGUGAAAAUGGGACAUUCCCAGUAUGAGACCUAGCUUGAGGUGUGGGAUUUGUGGCUGCCAUCUGUGCUGUGGGGCUGGCCUUUACUGGUCCACAGCCACUCUCUCUUAAAGGACUGCUUCUGCCCUCUGCCUGCGGUGCCCAUUCUACUGUGAGGUGGCGUUCCCUGCACCCGGUGACUAGUGUCUGGUUUUCGGUUGCAAAGCUUGGACUGGCAAAGGAGACUGGAAGAACCAUCGUGGUGGGGCCAGAAGUUACAGUUGACUAACACCGUGGCUUGCUUUUUUUUUUUUUUUUUUAAAGUCUACCAGGUUUUGUGGCAGCAAGAGUACAUUUGGAUCGAGCUGUACAACUGGAAGCCUUCCCCUUGCCUCUUGAUUCCUCCAAAGCUUUUCCUCAGGCAGCUGGUGCACAAUGGAACAUUUUUCCACUCUACACUUUGUACGCAUGAUUGCAGCCCUCCACACUUGAAGAAUGUCACUGUGGUAACCUGUGUGGAGUGUGGUUUUGUGAGCCAUUUCAUUGGUGGUAAAGAUAGGCAUAGCAACUCUUUUUUCAUAUUAAAUUGUGCAUUUUGGAAGCAAGUAGCCAUAGGACACAUACCCACAAACACACUUUCAGCUGGGGCGGGGACAGUGGGUUUCAUGUGAACAUCAGGCAAAGCCAUGAGAUCAAACUAUCCCAAAUGAGGUACAAUCACCUUGCUUCUAACCAAUCCUGAUAAUUUCCUGGAGACAUGAGCAUAUGUGACAAUAUCACACACUGCACACAAUGACUGAUUGUUCCUCCCUGGUACUGAUGGAAUGGGGCCAGAAAGCCGGAGCCAAGCUGUUCUUUUCUGGUUUUCUGUGUGCUCCAGGAAGCCUCAUGUGGGAUGGGAGGGCCUUAUUCAUCUAACUGGUUUGGGAGGUUUGUGGGCAGUCCCCUUCUCUGAUGGCCAAAGGAGGACUGUUUACUUCCUAGUCAGCGUCAAGCACUACAUUUCCACGUGCACUUGUGACCUUUCUUUAAUGUUGCCAACUUAAGUUUGUGCAUUGUGUCAGAAUGUUUAGUUUACAAAUUGGGGCUCUAAUUGCAUAAUUUGCUUUGAGAAGACCUAAUACAAUUUUGUUCAAAGCUGCAUCCAAUAUCAGAAUUACCUUGGGUAACUUUUGAUAAUUUAAUAUCUGUGGACAGAGCUAAUAGUGUUUUUUUUUUAAACAGCACCUUGCCUGAAGAUGACUUUAAAGAAAUUAAUAUAUUAAAAAAUUAUAUUUGAACCUUUGAUUAUUUUAAUCAUCCCAUUAAAACAUGACAGAUUAUUUGAUCAUUCCAGUCAAUGUACUGCCCUAAUUACUCAUUGUAUAGGCCAGUUUGCCUAUGAGAGUCCACAUGUCUUGUUCACUGUUCCUUUUCUGUGCAGUAGCAACUGAAGGCGAAAGACUAGAUAGAAGCACUACAGUGUAAAGAGAUUACACGACUGUACCCUGUCGCACUUAAAAUAGUAUGUGGGGACUUACAAUCGCAUUUUCACAAAAUAAACAUCUCAUGUCAAACACCAGAUAA